rnacentral:rRNA from 1 species
GACGAACGCUGGCGGCGUGCUUAACACAUGCAAGUCGAACGGAAAGGCCCUGCUUUUGUGGGGUGCUCGAGUGGCGAACGGGUGAGUAACACGUGAGUAACCUGCCCUUGACUUUGGGAUAACUUCAGGAAACUGGGGCUAAUACCGGAUAGGAGCUCCUGCUGCAUGGUGGGGGUUGGAAAGUUUCGGCGGUUGGGGAUGGACUCGCGGCUUAUCAGCUUGUUGGUGGGGUAGUGGCUUACCAAGGCUUUGACGGGUAGCCGGCCUGAGAGGGUGACCGGCGACAUUGGGACUGAGAUACGGCCCAGACUCCUACGGGAGGCAGCAGUGGGGAAUAUUACACAAUGGGCGGAAGCCUGAUGCAGCAACGCCGCGUGCGGGAUGACGGCCUUCGGGUUGUAAACCGCUUUCGCCUGUGACGAAGCGUGAGUGACGGUAAUGGGUAAAGAAGCACCGGCUAACUACGUG